UUUUGACAUCCCUUAAUAGAAAUUCUGAUUUCGCCACUGAUACCGAUCAAAGACAUCACCUCAAAAGAAUAGCAAGUAGAAUUGGAAUUAGGAAUAUAUUACUAGAAAACGUCAUCUCAGGAAAGCUUCUGCAUUAUCUUAUCAAAAGUUGUCUAUUUGCAUUUGUUGCAAGGCAUAUCACUGUGUUUAAUUAAUUAUUUUCACUUUAGCAUACAUGUCUUCAGAAAAUUAUAGAAUAACAACGGUAUUAGCUUACGACAAAAACUCAAAAAGGUAAAUGGAACAACAACAAAUAAUAUUAAGUAGAUGAAAAGGGAAGUUCCAUGUAUACUACCUACUCCCUAAACUAAUAAUGGACACAAAAAAGAAAAAUGGAGUUUCAUUAUGAAUCCUCAACUCACAUAAACAAACAAACAAACAGAAAGGGAAGCCAAUAUUGAAAUAAAAAAAUGUUAGAUUGCUUAAAAUAUAUAGUAUUAUACACUGUGAAAGUGGAAUUAUUAAGUUUCCUUUUCCACAUUUAUGGCCAAUAUUGAACCUUUCAUUAACUUCAGAAGCCAAUAAGUGAAGUUUCUGAUCUUUGAAAGAGACAAUUUACAUGCCAUGAGCCAGAAUUACUGGAAAAGUUAGAUUGCUUGGUGUAAUAAUUAAUCCACAAUGCAUUAUGAUAUCUUUUUAGUGCUCAAUACAUCAAAGGGUGUGAUGGCUUAGUAAAAAUUCCUCCACCCUUAACAAGAGGUUUCAGUUUGAGCGCUAAGAAUGAAAACCUUGCC
rnacentral:lncRNA from 1 species